rnacentral:rRNA from 1 species
AAGCUGGAUUCGCUAGUAAUCGCGCAUCAGCCACGGCGCGGUGAAUACGUUCCCGGGCCUUGUACACACCGCCCGUCAAGCCAUGGGAGCCGGGGGUACCUGAAGUGCGUAACCGCGAGGAUCGCCCUAGGGUAAAACUGGUGACUGGGGCUAAGUCGUAACAAGGUAUC